rnacentral:sRNA from 1 species
GCUAGGCAUGGGGUGCAUGCCUGUAAUCCCAGUGACUCAGAAGGCUAAGGCAGGAGGAUCACAAGUUUGAGGCCAGCCUCAGCAACUUAGUGAGGCCCUGUCUUGA